GAUGAACGCUGGCGGCGUGCUUAACACAUGCAAGUCGAACGAUGAAGCCCAGCUUGCUGGGUGGGUUAGUGGCGAACGGGUGAGUAACACGUGAGUAACCUGCCCUUAACUCUGGGAUAAGCCUGGGAAACUGGGUCUAAUACCGGAUAGGAGCGCCUACCGCAUGGUGGGUGUUGGAAAGAUUUAUCGGUUUUGGAUGGAUUCGCGGCCUAUCAGCUUGUUGGUGAGGUAAUGGCUCACCAAGGCGACGACGGGUAGCCGGCCUGAGAGGGGGACCGGCCACACUGGGACUGAGAGACGGCGCAGACGCCUACGGGAGGCAGCAGUGGGGAAUAUUGCACAAUGGGCGAAAGCCUGAUGCAGCGACGCCGCGUGAGGGAUGACGGCCUUCGGGUUGUAAACCUCUUUCAGUAGGGAAGAAGCGAAAGUGACGGUACCUGCAGAAGAAGCACCGGCUAACUACGUG
rnacentral:rRNA from 1 species